rnacentral:lncRNA from 1 species
CGACUGCCUUGCCGCCACAUCUUUCUCUGUGGGCGAUUAGUUCCAGCAACGCCGUUGCGCUCCUCCCUCUCUCCUAGCUCUCCCUCUUUCUCGACGGGCGAAAGACAUGGGACAGUGAACGAUCUUUCAGAACCUAUACGUACAUGGGGUAACAGGAUGAGAAAUCAACUGAAUAAAAUGAUAUUUCUAAAAUGCUGGGAGAAGAAAGCAAUUUUAUCAUAAUUAAGAAGGGAUAACUACAGAUGACAAAUUCUUGACCUUUAUCUAUGUGUCUUAUUAGAUGGAGUAGCGAGUCGGUGAACGGAUUGUUUACAAACUAAGAGGGAUACAACCUACAUAUUCAAUUGUCCUUUGAAGCGAUUAGCAAUGCAAUUUUACCAGUCGAAUAAUACAGGAUAAGCAAUCUAAGGAACUGAACAUGGAUAAAAUGUAUUAAGUGGACGUGGCGAUCAGUUCUGACUCAUCAUGCAAAGAAUAUUUAUGUUGUAUUCCACUUGACCGUGAUUAACAAGCUGAAAAUUCAUACCUCUCACACUCCAUGUCUAGGAUGAGGUGCUACCGCUAAUUACCCCGGUGAACCAUCACAUUCCCAAAGUCUUUCACAGGUACUGCUUGACCUCACAACACAAAUAAUACAUCAGAAAAGAUGCCAAAUGUGAUGGUCACAGACUCAAAGUUAUUCAAAUCUGGGCAAAGAUGCAUAGAUCAAGUGUAAGCAACUCAAAUUUUGUAAAUCUUCUCAUUAAAGCAGUGCUACUGCCUUCAUCCGAAAAAACAUGCAAGUACACCUGCAGAUCAUGAGGGCAUUGGCUGACGGGUAAUGGGUUGACCUUGACCACCAAAAAUCCCUUGUACUGAUAACAAAACCAUGUUUCCAGCCUUGAAGCGUAAGAAAGAAUAUGUAAGCUCAGUACUUCCAGCGAUCAAUUGUAAGAAUUAAACUAUUGAAGUAAUGUGUUUAUAUAGACUGCCAUUAGCUCAUAGGCCAGGUCUGCUGUUGAUGGAUCACCACUAAGAAUAGGAAGUGUUGAUGAACCAUCCGGCCUUAACAUAUCAAUUAGGAUGGAUGGUUACACUGAGUAGAGGACAAAAUGUGUUGCAUUCAAAUAUAUUAGCAACAACAUAUUUAGACAGUGCUGGUAUCUGGAACACACCAAUGCAGAGAGUAAAGUAAGUUAAUUUUACCUACUAUCACUCGUUCAUGAGAUAUCCUAAAGUCAACACCUGCAAACAGGAAUAAAUGAAAAUCUGGAUUCAAUUUUUAGUCGGUAGCCCUGCAGCUGCAUAAUAAAAAUCCUUGGUUGUUCUAUGUAAGUUUCCAAAUGAAUGGAAGCUUGGACACUAAAAACAUCAAAAGGUGAUCUAACAUAACCUCAUAUCACAUAACGGUACUCUAGCUGAAAGCUGGGAGCAUCCUUUAUGACCUCCAAUAUAUGACUAAAAAGCUGCUUAGCAACUGAAAUCAAAAGUAAGGAGUGCCCUGCAACAAUAGUGAACCGUCUUUAAUGGCAU